rnacentral:rRNA from 1 species
AUACGGAGACCUCGAGCGUUACUCGGAUUYACUGGGCGUAAAGAGUAUGUAGGCGGUUUGGUAUGUCAGGUGUGAAAUCCCGGAGCUCAACUCCGGAACUGCGCCUGAAACUACCAAACUCGAGGCCUGGAGAGGAGAGUGGAAUUCCUGGUGUAGCGGUGAAAUGCGUAGAUAUCAGGAGGAACACCAAUGGCGAAGGCAGCUCUCUGGACAGGUUCUGACGCUGAGAUACGAAAGCGUGGGUAGCGAAAGGGAUUAGAUACCCCUGUAGUCCACGCCGUAAACUUUGUACACUAGGUUUCGGAGGGCCUACCCCUUCGGAGCUCAAGCUAACGCGUUAAGUGUACCGCCUGAGGACUACGGCCGCAAGGCUAAAACUCAAAGGAAUUGACGGGGGCCCGCACAAGCGGUGGAGCAUGUGGCUUAAUUCGAUGCAACGCGAAGAACCUUACCUAGGCUUGACAUGAAUUGGACGAUUUCCGGAAACGGAUUUCUCUCUUCGGAGCUGAUUCACAGGUGCUGCAUGGCUGUCGUCAGCUCGUGUCGUGAGGUGUUUGGUUAAGUCCAGCAACGAGCGCAACCCCUGUUCUUAGCUGCCAGCACGUUAUGGUGGGGACUCUAAGAAGACAAACCUGUUGUACAGGUGGGAAGGUGGGGACGACGUCAAGUCAGUAUGGCCCUUACGCCUAGGGCUGCACACGUGUUACAAUGGUAUGUACAAAGGGAAGCGAUCCCGCGAGGAGGAGCUAAUCCCAAAAAGCAUAUCAAAGUUCGGAUCGGAGUCUGCAACUCGACUCCGUGAAGUUGGAAUCGCUAGUAAUCGCGGAUSAGCAUGCUGCGGUGAAUACGUUCCCGGGCC